rnacentral:rRNA from 1 species
UACGAAGGGGGCUAGCGUUGCUCGGAAUUACUGGGCGUAAAGGGCGCGUAGGCGGACAGUUUAGUCAGAGGUGAAAGCCCAGGGCUCAACCUUGGAAUUGCCUUUGAUACUGGCUGUCUUGAGUUCGGGAGAGGUGAGUGGAAUGCCGAGUGUAGAGGUGAGAUUCGUAGAAUAUUCGGCGGAACACCAGUGGCGAAGGCGACUCACUGGCCCGAUACUGGACGCUGAGACGAAGAGCGUGGGGAGCA